ensembl:misc_RNA Metazoa_SRP Metazoan signal recognition particle RNA
GCUGGGCGUGGUAGCGGACGCCUGUAAUCCCAGCUACUUGGGAGGCUAAGGCAGGAGAAUUGCUUGAACCCAGGAGGCGGAGGCUGCAGUGAGCUGAGAUCGCGCCACUACACUCCAGCCUGGGUCACAGAGCAAGACUCUGUCUCAA